CCCACAUCUGUUCCUGUCAGGCCCCCAUCAGGGGACUUGGGCGAUGUUCCUGUUAUAUGCUCAAGAUCCCAAGACUGUAAAAGUACUUGUUCACUGAAAGGGUGUAAGAGUAUAUGUCUACUUGGUUAACAUCUCUGUCUGUUUGUUUGCUGGGAACUUUGAUUUGCUAUGUAAUAUUCUGUGCUGGGUUGGGAUUUUGGAAUUCUGGGGUAGAUUUAAAAGGUAUUUGUGGCUUUUCUAGUCUGAUUGGGACAUUUAAGGGUGGGGCUCACAGUUACUCAGGGCAGAGAUUUCAUGGACCCUUCCCCCUGCCUGUGCUGAAUUAAAUAAUACAGGCCAGUGUCAUUUGGCUUGCUGGUUAAAGGAAGAGAAUGGGCCUUAGAAUCUGUAAAGGUGGGUGGGAAUGAAGCUGGUCAAAUGUACUGAAAGGGUUUGGUACCUGUUGCUGCUAGCAAAGGAGGGGCUGAUAACCCCUUCUAGCGCACUCCCUUGAAAGAGGCCUGGUUGCUGCUCUGCCACAGAGGGAACUGGUAACGCAGGUAGUAACCAGGGCUAUUGGGGCAAAUUGGAUAGGCCCCAGAGUUCAGGGCAGGUAGAAAGGAACCAUGGAAACUGGUGGGGACUGGGUGGCUCUCCUAUCAUGUUUGGCAGGCCACUCCCUAUCAUUCCUAACCUUAAAUCUGACUUUCUUGCUGCAAGAACUAGCUCUUUCCUUGAUAGGGCUCCAGAGUGUGCACGAGGACAUUUGGCCGCGCCUCCGCACCAUCUACGAGACUGGCCCAACCCCAACUCCUCAUCUGCACAGACCAGGAGAUUGUGUCUACGUCAGAAGGCACCGCCAGGAGACCCUCGAGCCGCGUUGGAAGGGUCCCUACACUGUGGUGCUGACAACCCCCACCGCUCUCAAGGUAGACGGCGUCACAACCUGGGUCCAUCACAUUCACAUCUGGUCAGCGGACCCAUCCGUGAUCCGGGAAGACUUCGUCACCAAGUGGAGCAUCGAUCGAGAUCAACGCAACCCACUCAAGCUCAAGCUACGGUGUGCUCAACCUGCCUGAGGCUGGUAACCUUGCUCACGAUCACUCCUACCACUGGGAGCCCCCACAAUACCGUAUAAUAGACUUAGAUAAUGCCUGCAUCUUCAUGGACAUGGCUCCAAAGAGACAAGGACAAUAUAUAGGAUCACAUGUUUAGUAGCAGAAGAUUUGGCUGCCUGAAGCAGCCAUGAUGCCAAUAUUAUGUUUCAUUGUAUUAAUAUGUUAUA